rnacentral:lncRNA from 1 species
UGAUGUGGCAUUUCAAACGGAGAAAACGACAAAUUUAAUCCACAUCUCAGGUUGAAGACGGCAAAUACAACACCCUGACAGCUGUAAUAUAAGGGGGGGGGGGGCGAAAGAUACCAAAGGACAUUCAAACUCUUGAGUCGAAAAUAAACUGACAACAAUAUGGCUAAAAAAUAAAAUAAAACAACAGACAAACGUUAUUACACAC